rfam:Nannochloropsis gaditana CCMP526 unplaced genomic scaffold scaffold263, whole genome shotgun sequence.
GCCCACUUAGCUCAGUGGUAGAGCAUGCGCUUCGUAAGCGUAGGGUCGGAAGUUCAAUCCUUCCAGUGGGCA